GCCGAGGUGGUGAAAUUGGUAGACACGCAAGCUUCAGAUGCUUGUGGGGGUAACCCCGUGAAGGUUCGAGUCCUUUUCUCGGCA
rnacentral:tRNA from 1 species